CGUUGUUCGGAAUUACUGGGCGUAAAGAGCUCGUAGGCGGUCUGUCGCGUCGAUCGUGAAAACUUGGGGCUUAACCCUGAGCUUGCGGUCGAUACGGGCAUGACUGGAGUUCGGCAGGGGAGACUGGAAUUCCUGGUGUAGCGGUGAAAUGCGCAGAUAUCAGGAGGAACACCGGUGGCGAAGGCGGGUCUCUGGGCCGAUACUGACGCUGAGGAGCGAAAGCGUGGGGAGCGAACAGG
rnacentral:rRNA from 1 species